rnacentral:rRNA from 1 species
GAUGAACGCUAGCGGCAGGCUUAAUACAUGCAAGUCGAGGGGCAGCAUAAGUAGCAAUACUUGAUGGCGACCGGCAAACGGGUGCGGAACACGUACGCAACCUUCCUUUAAGCGGGGAAUAGCCCGGGGAAACCCGGAUUAAUACCCCAUAAUAUAUUGAGAAAGCAUUUUCUUUUUAUUAAAGAUUUAUCACUUAAAGAUGGGCGUGCGCCUGAUUAGGUAGUUGGCGGAGUAAUAGCCCACCAAGCCNGCGAUCAGUAACUGGUGUGAGAGCACGACCAGUCACACGGGCACUGAGACACGGGCCCGACUCCUACGGGCGGCAGCAGUAAGGAACAUUGGUCAAUGGACGCAAGUCUGAACCAGCCAUGCCGCGUGGAGGAUGAAGGUCCU